rnacentral:lncRNA from 10 species
AAGUUCCUGUAUUUUUAUGUGGAGUUGCUCACUGCCCAACGUAGAGGACUAGGAAUCAGGAGUCGGUGGCCGUAUGCUGGAGGCUGGAGCCGCGGGAGCGCGGCUCGCCUCGCUGCGGUUGUUGGCAGUGACGGAGAGAGAGCAGCGCGGCUGGAGCAGUGACACAAAUCACUAUGUAAUAUAGUUAGCCUUUGAACAACACGGAUUUGAACUGCAGGGGUCUACUUAUGAGCAGAUUUUCUCCCACCUCUACCACCUGAGACAGCGAAGACCAAUCUUCCUCUUCCUCCUUCUCCUUAGCCUGCUCAACUUGAAGACUAUGAUGAAGAGUUAUAUAAUGAUCUACUUGCAUUUAAUGAACAUGUCUCCAGGAGCCAAGACGUGCUCCACCCCAGGGACGUCGCCCGACCGGGCAGCUCUGUGGAGCUCGCCAAGAUCUUCCAGGCGGACAUCGUGCUGGAGCUGGUCUAAGGCGCCCUCACCGUGCUUGCUCUCGCUGCCGACGCUGUUCUUCCACCAGCUGUAGGAGAAGCCCAAGGACCACUGGUCCCCCGGGUAGUCCAAGUACCACUGGUCCUCCUGGCUCCCAACACUAGGGGUCUUCCUCGUGGCGUAGA